UUUCGACCCGGCUCCGCCGCCCGACCGUGGCCUAGAACCGAGGUUCGACAACCGCGCAAGCGCCAACGACGCUCGAGCCCUUCCCGCACGCCUGGUGCGGCCGCCGACAGACAAUUCCCCCCCGCUCACUGCGGUUACACGAAGCGGCCCGCCGGCGUUCGCGAGGACGCGGCUCUCGAGUAAGUUGCGCCUGUGGUCGGCGGCGAGUAGGUCGGUAACCCACCCGACCCGUCUUGAAACACGGACCAAGGAGUCUAACAUGUGUGCGAGUCGUAGGGUGCGUACGAAACCCGAAGGCGCAGUGAAAGCACGGGCCGAUUUAUUUGGCCGAGGCGGGAUCCGUCCGCUUUCCCUCGCGGGAAACGGGCGGCGCACCGCCGGCCCGUCUCGACCGCAGCGUCGGUGAGGCGGAGCAAGAGCAGACACGUUGGGACCCGAAAGAUGGUGAACUAUUCCUAGGCAGGACGAAGCCAGAGGAAACUCUGGUGGAGGUCCGUAGCGUUUCUGACGUGCAAAUCGAUCGUCAGACCUGGGUAUAGGGGCGAAAGACUAAUCGAACCAUCUAGUAGCUGGUUCCCUCCGAAGUUUCCCUCAGGAUAGCUGGCUCUCGAGAGAAACACAGUCUCAUCCGGUAAAGCGAAUGAUUAGAGGCCUUGGGGCCGAAACGACCUCAACCUAUUCUCAAACUUUCAAUGGGUGAGAAGUCCGGCUUGCUCGACUGAAGCCCGGACGUCGGAUGCGAGUGCCCAGUGGGCCACUUUUGGUAAGCAGAACUGGCGCUGUGGGAUGAACCAAACGCCGGGUUACGGCGCCCAAUGCGACGCUCAUCAGACACCAUGAAAGGUGUUGGUUGCUAUAGACAGCAGGACGGUGGCCAUGGAAGUCGGAAUCCGCUAAGGAGUGUGUAACAACUCACCUGCCGAAGCAACUAGCCCUGAAAAUGGAUGGCGCUCAAGCGUCGAGCCUAUACCCGGCCGCCGGGGCAGAGCAACAAUUGCAGCAGACGCCCCGGCGAGUAGGAGGGUCGCGGCGGCGAGCGGAAAAGGGUCGGGCGCAGGCCCGCCUGGAGCCGCCGCCGGUGCAGAUCUUGGUGGUAGUAGCAAAUACUCGAGUGAGAACCUUGAGGACUGAUGUGGAGAAGGGUUCCAUGUGAACAGCAGUUGAACAUGGGUCAGUCGGCCCUAAGGAAUAGGGAAAUCCCGUUCCGAAUUUUUGGGUUUCUCAUGUAAUAAUAUAUCCCAAACUCAACCGAAAGGGAAUCGGGUUAAUAUUCCCGAACCCGGACACGGAGAUCGGGCCUUUAUCGGUCCAGUGCGGUGACGCAAACAACCUCGGAGACGUCGGCGGGAGUCCCGGGAAGAGUUGUCUUUUCUUUGUAAGGAACGGAAUCCCUGGAAUCGGUUCGCCCGGAGAUAGGGAUGUGGUUUCCGUAAAGCACCGCGCCUCCUGCGGUGUCCGGACAGCUCUCGUCGGCCCUUGAAAAUCCGAGGAAGGCAGUGCGAUUUUCGUGCCGGGCCGUACCCAUAUCCGCAGCAGGUCUCCAA
rnacentral:rRNA from 1 species